ensembl:lncRNA TBX2-AS1 TBX2 antisense RNA 1
CCCUGGCAGCAAGGUCUCUGCCACAUCCACGUGUCCUGGGGUGGUUUCAGAGGGGCUCAUGCUUCCUAGGGCAGCUGAACCCAUCCCCAGGAAGACAGGCCAUGGGCAGCAUGCACAGGUGCCCUGGCAGGAGGGACUGGCUUAUGCCACCCUGUGCAGGAUCGUCUUCUCAGCUUACAGAGCCUAGUGUGAUUCAACAACCCUCCAUCUCUGCCCCCAACAUGCCCAACUGAUCUGGUGGAGGGAACUGAAGAUGAAGGCCUCUCAGGCACCAUGGAUGGGAUGGGUGUGUGUGAAGGGGGCAGGGUCCCCAGGAGCUGCCCCAGGUCUGGCUGGACAGUUGCACGGGAAGUCCUGUUUGUGAACUCAACGUUUCCACGGCUUUUCCAUUAAACUUUACCCCAAAUCAC